AUUGAACGCUGGCGGCAGGCCUAACACAUGCAAGUCGAACGGCAGCGGGGGAUAGCUUGCUAUCCUGCCGGCGAGUGGCGGACGGGUGAGUAAUGCCUGGGGAGCUGCCCAAUCGAGGGGGAUACCAACUGGAAACGGUUGCUAAUACCGCAUACGCCCUGCGGGGGAAAGGUGGGGACCUUCGGGCCUACCGCGAUUGGAUGCACCCAGGUGGGAUUAGCUGGUUGGUGAGGUAACGGCUCACCAAGGCGACGAUCUCUAGCUGGUCUGAGAGGAUGACCAGCCACACCGGAACUGAGACACGGUCCAGACUCCUACGGGAGGCAGCAGUGGGGAAUAUUGCACAAUGGGGGAAACCCUGAUGCAGCCAUGCCGCGUGUGUGAAGAAGGCCUUCGGGUUGUAAAGCACUUUCAGUGGGGAGGAAGGGGUGAUGCCUAAUACGCAUCAUCAUUGACGUUACCCACAGAAGAAGCACCGGCUAACUCCGUG
rnacentral:rRNA from 1 species